GACGAACGCUGGCGGCGUGCUUAACACAUGCAAGUCGAACGAAGUGGAAAACGGGUGAGUAACGCGUGAUCAACCUGCCCUUCAGAGGGGGACCACAGGGGAAAACGACUUCUAACACCGCAUACUGAGGGGGGGGAUUUCGUCUGAUUAGCUAGUUGGAGGGGAAACGGCCCACCAAGGCGAUGAUAAGUAGCCGGUCUGAGAGGAUGAACGGCCACAUUGGGACUGAGACAAGGCCCAGACUCCUACGGGAGGCAGCAGUGGGGAAUCUUCCGCAAUGGACGAAAGUCUGACGGAGCAACGCCGCGUGAGUGAUGACGGUCUUCGGGUUGUAAAGCUCUGUUAAUCGGGACGCGGUACCGGAAUAGAAAGCCACGGCUAACUACGUGCCAGCAGCCGCGGUAAUAC
rnacentral:rRNA from 1 species